rnacentral:rRNA from 1 species
AGAGUUUGAUCCUGGCUCAGGAUGAACGCUGGCGGCGUGCUUAACACAUGCAAGUCGAACGAACCUUCGGGUUAGUGGCGGACGGGUGAGUAACGCGUGAGAAUCUGCCCUCAGGAGGGGGAUAACGGCUGGAAACGGCCGCUAAUACCCCAUAUGCCGAGAGGUGAAAUGAAUUUCGCCUGAGGAUGAGCUCGCGUCUGAUUAGCUAGUUGGUGUGGUAAAGGCUCACCAAGGCAUCGAUCAGUAGCUGGUCUGAGAGGAUGAUCAGCCACACUGGGACUGAGACACGGCCCAGACUCCUACGGGAGGCAGCAGUGGGGAAUUUUCCGCAAUGGGCGCAAGCCUGACGGAGCAACGCCGCGUGAGGGAUGAAGGCCUCUGGGCUGUAAACCUCUUUUAUCAAGGAAGAAGAUCUGACGGUACUUGAUGAAUAAGCCACGGCUAAUUCCGUGCCAGCAGCCGCGGUAAUACGGGAGUGGCAAGCGUUAUCCGGAAUUAUUGGGCGUAAAGCGUCCGCAGGCGGUCUUGAAAGUCUGUUGUUAAAGCGUGGAGCUCAACUCCAUUUCAGCAAUGGAAACUAGAAGACUAGAGUGUGGUAGGGGCAGAGGGAAUUCCCGGUGUAGCGGUGAAAUGCGUAGAUAUCGGGAAGAACACCAGUGGCGAAGGCGCUCUGCUGGGCCAUAACUGACGCUCAUGGACGAAAGCCAGGGGAGCGAAAGGGAUUAGAUACCCCUGUAGUCCUGGCCGUAAACGAUGAACACUAGGUGUCGGGGGAAUCGACCCCCUCGGUGUCGUAGCCAACGCGUUAAGUGUUCCGCCUGGGGAGUACGCACGCAAGUGUGAAACUCAAAGGAAUUGACGGGGGCCCGCACAAGCGGUGGAGUAUGUGGUUUAAUUCGAUGCAACGCGAAGAACCUUACCUGGGUUUGACAUCCUGCGAAUCCCUUGGAAACUUGGGAGUGCCUUCGGGAGCGCAGUGACAGGUGGUGCAUGGCUGUCGUCAGCUCGUGUCGUGAGAUGUUGGGUUAAGUCCCGCAACGAGCGCAACCCACGUCUUUAGUUGCCAGCAUUAAGUUGGGCACUCUAGAGAGACUGCCGGUGAUAAACCGGAGGAAGGUGUGGAUGACGUCAAGUCAUCAUGCCCCUUACAUCCUGGGCUACACACGUACUACAAUGCUACGGACAAAGGGCAGCAAACUCGCGAGAGCUAGCAAAUCCCAUAAACCGUGGCUCAGUUCAGAUCGUAGGCUGCAACUCGCCUACGUGAAGGAGGAAUCGCUAGUAAUCGCAGGUCAGCAUACUGCGGUGAAUACGUUCCCGGGCCUUGUACACACCGCCCGUCACACCAUGGAAGUUGGCCACGCCCGAAGUCGUUACUCCAACCCGCAAGGGAGGAGGAUGCCGAAGGUGGGGCUGAUGACUGGGGUGAAGUCGUAACAAGGUA